CACGUAGGGGGCGAGCGUUGUCCGGAUUUAUUGGGCGUAAAGAGCUCGUAGGCGGUUCGGCAAGUCGGGUGUGAAAUUUCGAGGCUCAACCUCGAAACGCCACUCGAUACUGCUGUGACUGGAGUCCGGUAGAGGAGUGCGGAAUUCCUGGUGUAGCGGUGAAAUGCGCAGAUAUCAGGAGGAACACCAACGGCGAAGGCGGUUCUCUGGGCCUGUACUGACGCUGAGGAGCGAAAGCGUGGGGAGCGAACAGG
rnacentral:rRNA from 1 species